UCUUAAUUUUUCUUUAGUUUCAGUCUUUGCCUCUUUCACAUAAUUUUACACAAGCUAAGUGCUAUACAUUUGGACAUUGUAAAAGCCUUUCCUUUGAUCAUCCUGGAAUUACAAAUAGGUUGAUGCUUAUUGCCAUAUGUGCUCCAUUGGAGUAUGAUCACAAGAAGGUUUGAACUCUACAUGGAAGUCAUUUUUUUACUAGUUUGGUAUGAAAGUAUUUUCAAGUACAUGGUUUGUUGUAAUUUAGGCACAAUGGAUUUGGUAAUGCCAUUAUGGAUGAAUUUUUUCCAAGUGUGAUUUUUUUUCUUAUUUGAAAAUCAGCUUAUCUACUUUAAUGCAAGGUUUUUAAUUUCCACUGGUUUGGUAUGGUUCAGCGAGUAUUACCUGUCUAAACAGUGACUGAGGCAUGAACCACUUGAAAUCGGGCAGUCUGGGCUCAUGGAGUCAUGUGAUUCAUCUUCACCAUCACUGCCCAUGCACUGUGGCCUCAGCUUCCACACGCUGUUCCCUUCACCCAUUCUGGUACAUCUCUUUCUUCACCAUCUCCUCAUCUUUCUACCUUCUUUUUUUCUUCUCUUCCUCUUUCUUCUUCCUUUUGCACAUUCUUUCUCCUUUUUUUUUUUCUCUUUCUUCUUCCUCCUCCUCUCCCUUCUCAGCGGUAUCACUGUACAUUCUUCGUACUAUGUGUCAGUAUGCUAGAACGGACCAGAUCCAUGCUGGUCGGUUCCAAAAUUGAAAUCCUUGCUUUAUGAUAAUAUCAAUUUGAAAUUUUGGAUUUUAGAGCUGUUUGGAAGAUUACUCGAGUCCUUGAGCUUUAAUCGAUACACAGAUUUGGAUUUCAGAGCUGGUCUGGAAUAUGCGUAUACAGAGCUUCAUUUUUCUUCCUGAAAACCAUGAUAAUAAUAAGACUAAGGUAAUCCAUGUGAUGACUGUCAUCUGGUGUAAGUCAUUGACAUUAAUUGGUUUUCUUGAUCCAUUUAGAUUAACCUUUGCUAACAAGUGUGCAAGACAUCUUGUAUAUCUCUUUUCCUAUGCACAGGCUGUAGGCCUAUCAAGCCCAUCUUUGCCUUAGUUUGAAAGGGUCAAUUGGUGGUAAGUUGCACAGUUGUUGACUCACUCCCACUACAUAGAUGACAAUCUAAACACUGUGCUCAGCUGUUAGGUGCCACCUGCAGAGAUUAGAGUUGCACAAAAAUUAUUUGUAAGAUAAUUUUCAUUAUUUUGAUGAUUCUAAAUUUGGGUCAACUUCUUUUUUUGGGCUUGAUCUUCAAUCCAGCACAUUACUUGUAUUCUUCUUUUGGCUAAUUUUCUUAUCUAUUUUUUCUGAUAGAUCACCUGAGGUAAAUCACAUUCCAAAA